rnacentral:tRNA from 1 species
GCCCGGAUGGCGGAAUUGGUAGACGCGCUAGAUUCAGGAUCUAGUGAGGAUUAUCCCUCGUGGGAGUUCGAGUCUCCCUUCGGGCA